CCUCAUGGAAUGAACCCGUCCAAUCUAGUGACGUAGUUCCGUCUUCCUUUAGAUAAGCGCAGUCGUUCAUGGUGGCUUCACAUGUCUCCUCGUGGAAAACAAAUAGUCCUGCUGUAUUUACUGCGCGUUUAACACCAGACGUUUUGUUGACGGUGGACAGUUUCAUCACAACUCGUUUUAAGUAAGUCGUUUAGUCGUAUUAUACCGUUAUUUACCUUGGGACCGUCCGCAGUGUCUCAUCACCGCGGCUCGCUGAUCUCCGUUGCUCGGUGUGUUGACGACACAGAUCCCCGCUGCUCAGCGAACAAAGGAACAAACAGGCCGAUAGCACGACCGCUAACCGCGGAAUAGAACCGCGAUAUUAUUCAUGAAAUAACUUAAAAUUAACCUCACUCUUAACACUUUGGUUUUGUUAUAGUAUUUUAAGUUGAUACGUCUUUAUUCCUCCAACUCUAACGAACCAGUUAGUCUCAUUCAGUCCCGUUAGCAUCGUCGGCUAACGUUAGCUGCUAACUAGCUUAGCUUUAGCAUUGUUGUGCUUCUCGCUGCAACAUGGCUGAGGUGUACAUCCGCGUGGCGGAGGAGGAGAACGAGGAGCCCAUGGAGAUCCCGUCGGAGGACGACGGCACGGUGCUGCUCUCCACCGUGGCGGCGCAGUUCCCCGGAGCCUGCGGCCUGCGGUUCAGGAGCCCCGUGUCCCAGUGCAUGAGAGGAGUCCGGCUGGUGGAGGGGGUCCUGCACGCUCCGGAGAACGGCUGGGGCAACGUGGUGUACGUGGUCAACUACCCGAAAGAGGAUCUCCAGGAGGAGACGAUAAAGAAGAGAGCGAGUGAGAGAGACGACAACAAAAGGAAGAUGGAGGAAAUCGACGCCUCCUCUGCAGUGAAAAUGAAGCGAGGGGACAUGAAGACAUCUGACCUGAUCGUACUGGGGCUUCCUUGGAAAACAUCUGAGCAGGACCUGAAAGACUACUUUAGCACGUUUGGAGAAGUCAUCAUGGUCCAGGUGAAACGAGAUGCCAAGACUGGAAACUCUAAAGGAUUCGGCUUUGUGAGGUUCACGGAGUACGAGGCUCAAGAAAAGGUCAUCUCCCAGCGUCAUAUGAUUGAUGGGAGAUGGUGUGACUGCAAGCUCCCUAAUUCGAAGCAAGGUCCAGAUGAGCCAUUGAGGAGCCGGAAAGUGUUUGUAGGCCGUUGCACAGAAGACAUGACCACCGACGACCUACGACAGUUCUUUAUGCAGUAUGGCGAAGUCACAGAUGUCUUCAUCCCAAAGCCAUUCCGUGCUUUUGCCUUUGUCACAUUUGCAGAUGAUCAGGUUGCCCAGUCUCUCUGUGGAGAGGACCUUAUUAUCAAAGGCGUCAGUGUUCACAUCUCAAAUGCUGAGCCCAAACAUGGCAAUAGGCAGUUUGAUCGUACAGCGCGGUUUGGGAAUGGUUUUGGAGCUCAAGCAUUUGGUAGCAGCGGUAGAAGUGGGUUAGGGAGCAGCACUAACAGUAGUCUGGCUAAUUUUGGUUCCUUCAGUCUGAACCCUGCUAUGAUGGCUGCUGCUCAGGCUGCUCUGCAGAGUAGUUGGGGGAUGAUGGGUAUGUUAGCUAGCCAGCAGCAGACGUCCACUUCAGGCGGCACCUCCAGUGGGACAAGCUCUAGCAGGGACCAGAGUCAGUCUUUCAGUACAGGCGGCAACAACAGCAACUACGGCACCAGCUCAGCCAGUCUCGGCUGGGGAACAGGGUCAAACUCUACAACCGGUGGUAGUGGGUUUAGCUCAGGUUUUGGGUCCAGUAUGGAGUCAAAGUCAUCUGGGUGGGGUAUGUAAGUUAAUUGUUUGUAUGGUAAGUAUUGUGACACAGAUGAGUCUUUUAAAAAUUUAUUUCUGGUGUUGAUGCGUAUCUGAAAAACUUAACACUUUUGUGGAAAGAUGUUUUGUACAUUUGGAAAAAAAUGCUAAAGAUUUAAUUUAGAAAGUGUUGAAGUGAGUUGUUUACCAGGAUGUCUGACUUAAAGUGCUAUUUUUGAUGUUUUCAUUUGUUUGUAUCCAUUUCAACUGGAUUCUCUAAUGCAUGUAUUGUGAAAUGUGAUAUAACCAUUUUGAAAAAUUGCAUGAAUGUUUGUGGUUCACCAUUAUCCGGCUUUUUUGUCAUCGACUUAAAAAGAGCAAUCUUGCAUUGGGAAGAAUCUGGUUGAAACCUAAAUGUUUUAAGUGCAACUUUAUUUGCAGUCAAGUUCUGUGGAAAAGCCUUCAUUGAAAUCUCUUCUGCAGUUCACCUCUCUUCCAUUUUCCUGUGAGGAAGCUCCUCUUUGGCAGCAUUCUUGGGGUGAUAUCGGUAUCAUUCUCCCUCUUCCCACCUGUAAAUGCUAUGCCAUCAAACAACGGCUUCACUCCGCAUGUUCUAAGAGACGGGACCUUGGGCUCUGCUGGUCGAGGUCUCCGUUUGAACCCUGACUGAAGUCUGUUCUGAAGGACGAAGACGGAAGUUCCAACACUUUCAGUGUGUGGCCUUCUCAGACAUGACAUGGGGUAGUACCUGUCUUUUUGCUGCUUUUGAUGGCUUGUCAGAGUUAAUUAUCCCUUUUUGAUUAUCCACAGCUACUUUUAAAGUUGGAGGGAAGUUUCAGUUUUAUUAGUCAUAUGUAGGUUAACGCAGGGUCAAUAGGAAAUGAAUUGUUUUGUUUUCAUUUUAACCUUAAAUAGUUGAGCUCAGCAAUGUGGCAUUGCCUCUCCAAAAUAUGUGUUGUCCCUAAUUUGGCUUCAGUAAUCGACAACUAAUGGCACUUUGCUUUGGAGUUUUUAGAUGGCCUUAUACACUUAGUGUCACUUUAUUAGGUACACCUGUACAAUCCAUUGCAAAUCAAUACAACAGUUCUGCCAUACAUUCUACCUUCAGGAAGUUUAAUUGUUAAAUUUUUUUGUUGAUAUUGUUGGAAAUGUGUAAAUUCAAUUAUGUUUCACACUGAGGUCACAGGUGGUGUGCUGGACUACAUUGAAUUGAGACGUGUUACAAAUUUUUGGUCCUUAUUUACAUUCAUGAGUAGGACUGUGUAUUGGCAAGAAUCUGGCGAUACAAUAUGUAUCACAAUACAAGGGUUAAGAAUUCAAUAUACUGUAAGCAAGGUGAUAUAUUGCGAUUUUAAAAAAAAAAAAACUAAUUUUAGGAAAACUCAGUAUAAAGAACAAAGAAAAAGGGUUUACUUUUUUUUUU